UUGUGCUGUGGGGUUGUGCUCACGCCCUGUGCUCAACACCCCUCACUGCAUCAUUGCCCUGGUGCAGUGCUGCUGCCCCAGACAUCUGCUGCAGACCUGGAUGGGCUGGAAGAAGCUCAAGCAGUUGCUGAUACCAAGCAGAAGCUCUUUCUGGGGCUCUGCAGCCUCAGACAUGGAAGAGAAGAAAGGAAUGGGAUGCAGGUGUUGUGCCUACAUGAACACAGCAGGUCCUGUGCACCCUUGUAGACUUUUGAAGACCUUCCUGUGAAGCUUACCAAAGCUUGAUGUCUUCUGUCUCAGCUCUCUUUGCUUUGAUCUUUGGGAAAAUGUGCCAACRUUUCUGCUCCCUGGGUGCCAUGACCAGAGUCUAGGCCAGUGACUGACCCACUGCCUCCUGUUUGAACCUUCCUUCUCCAACUGGCUGACCUUUCUCUCUCCUCUGGGGGGAUGCAGGUGGACAGAUCUGUCCAAAUGGGCUGGGACAGUGCCCUUUCCCACAGCCUUGGUGAAUCAUGUGCUGUGGACAUGAUAUUUAUCAUUUUCACAACUGAAAAUAAAACCGUUUCAGAAAGUCUGCAGCAAUGGACUACCACCUAUGAGAGUCAGUAGAGACAGAGUAAUAAAUAAAGUAUUCAAGAGGGUUUUUUCCCUUCCUUUCUCUC